UACGUAGGUGGCAAGCGUUAUCCGGAUUUACUGGGUGUAAAGGGAGCGUAGACGGCGAUGCAAGUCUGAAGUGAAAGCCCGGGGCUCAACCCCGGGACUGCUUUGGAAACUGUAUGGCUGGAGUGCUGGAGAGGCAAGCGGAAUUCCUAGUGUAGCGGUGAAAUGCGUAGACAUUAGGAAGAACACCAGAGGCGAAGGCGGCUUGCUGGACAGUAACUGACGUUGAGGCUCGAAAGCGUGGGGAGCAAACAGG
rnacentral:rRNA from 1 species